rnacentral:rRNA from 1 species
UACGCAGGGUGCAGGCGUUAAUCGGAAUUACUGGGCGUAAAGCGUGCGCAGGCGGUUUGUUAAGACAGGUGUGAAAUCCCCGGGCUUAACCUGGGAAUUGCGCUUGUAACUGGCAGACUAGAGUGUGGCAGAGGGGGGUGGAAUUCCAAGUGUGGCAGUGAAAUGCGUAGAUAUUUGGAGGAACACCGAUGGCGAAGGCAGCCCCCUGGGCUAACACUGACGCUCAUGCACGAAAGCGUGGGGAGCAAACAGG